CCACACCAAAAAACUUUCCACGUGAACCGUUGUAAUUUUGUUUUGUGCCUUCUUUCGGGAGGGCUAAACGAAGGUUGUCCGCAAGUGUAGUUAAUUCUGUACGCGUGGUCUUCCGAUGUCUUUUUAAACCCAUUACUUAAUACUGAUCUAUACUCCGAGAACGAAAGUUUUUGGUUUUAAUCCAUA
rnacentral:misc_RNA from 1 species